GGCAGCGGUGGCUCAGUGGUUAAGAUAUCAGCCUCCUGCUCAGAUGGUCAUGAGUUCAAUCCCCAGCACCGCCA